rnacentral:rRNA from 1 species
CCAGGGAUGAGCCCGCGUAGGAUUAGCUAGUUGGUUGGGUAAAGGCUGACCAAGGCGACGAUCCUUAGCUGGUCUGAGAGGAUGAUCAGCCACACUGGGACUGAGACACGGCCCAGACUCCUACGGGAGGCAGCAGUAGGGAAUAUUGGACAAUGGGGGCAACCCUGAUCCAGCAAUGCCGCGUGAGUGAUGAAGGCCUUAGGGUUGUAAAGCUCUUUUACCCGGGAUGAUAAUGACAGUACCGGGAGAAUAAGCCMGGGCUAACUCCGUGCCAGCAGCCGCGGUAAUACGGAGGGGGGCUAGCGUUGUUCGGAAUUACUGGGCGUAAAGCGCACGUAGGCGGCGAUUUAAGUCAGAGGUGAAAGCCCGGGGCUCAACCCCGGAAUAGCCUUUGAGACUGGAUUGCUUGAACAUCGGAGAGGUGAGUGAAAUUCCGAGUGUAGAGGUGAAAUUCGUAGAUAUUCGGAAGAACACCAGUGGCGAAGGCGGCUCACUGGACGAUUGUUG